rnacentral:rRNA from 1 species
CAGCCGCCGCGGGAAUACGAAGGGGGCUAGCGUUGCUCGGAAUCACUGGGCGUAAAGGGUGCGUAGGCGGGUCUUUAAGUCAGGGGUGAAAUCCUGGAGCUCAACUCCAGAACUGCCUUUGAUACUGAAGAUCUUGAGUUCGGGAGAGGUGAGUGGAACUGCGAGUGUAGAGGUGAAAUUCGUAGAUAUUCGCAAGAACACCAGUGGCGAAGGCGGCUCACUGGCCCGAUACUGACGCUGAGGCACGAAAGCGUGGGGAGCAAACAGGAUUAGAUACCCGAGUAGUCCCUGUCUCUUAUAC